GAUGAACGCUAGCUACAGGCUUAACACAUGCAAGUCGAACGGACAGAACAGGGAAGCUUUUCGGAGUGGAACUGGAAAGUUAGUGGCGGAUGGGUGAGUAACGCGUGGACAACCUACCUUGUAAAGGGGAAUAACCUCGAGAAAUCGAAGCUAAUACCCCAUAAUAACCUUGCUUCGCAUGAAGUAAGGAGGAAAGGCGGCCUUAGCGCUGUCGAUACAAGAUGGGUCCGCGUCUGAUUAGCUAGUUGGUGAGGUAAAGGCUCACCAAGGCGACGAUCAGUAGCCGGCCUGAGAGGGUGAACGGCCACAUUGGGACUGAGACACGGCCCAAACUCCUACGGGAGGCAGCAGUGGGGAAUCUUCCGCAAUGGGCGAAAGCCUGACGGAGCAAUGCCGCGUGAGUGAAGAAGGCCUUCGGGUUGUAAAACUCUGUCCUUAUCGAAGAGAGAGUGUUGUAGUAACUGACAAUACUAGGACGGUAGAUGAGGAGGAAGCCCCGGCUAACUAUGUGCCAGCAGCCGCGGUAAAACAUAGGGGGCAAGCGUUGUCCGGAAUCACUGGGCGUAAAGGGCGCGCAGGCGGUAAAUUAAGUCAGGUGUGAAAGUUCGGGGCUCAACCCCGUGAUUGCACCUGAUACUGAUAAACUAGAGUGUUGGAGAGGUAAGUGGAAUUCCUAGUGUAGCGGUGGAAUGCGUAGAUAUUAGGAGGAACACCAGUGGCGAAGGCGACUUACUGGCCAAUAACUGACGCUGAGGCGCGAAAGCGUGGGGAGCAAACAGG
rnacentral:rRNA from 1 species